rnacentral:rRNA from 1 species
UACGUAGGGUGCGAGCGUUGCCCGGAUUUACUGGGCGUAAAGAGCGCGCAGGCGGUCGAUCAAGUCGAGUGUGAAAGCCCCCGGCUCAACUGGGGAGGGUCAUUCGAUACUGAUCGACUCGAAGGCAGGAGAGGGUAGUGGAAUUCCCGGUGUAGUGGUGAAAUGCGUAGAUAUCGGGAGGAACACCAGUGGCGAAGGCGACUACCUGGCCUGUUCUUGACGCUGAGGCGCGAAAGCUAGGGAGCAAACGGG